rnacentral:rRNA from 1 species
UACGUAGGGGGGCAAGCGUUGUCCGGAUUUAUUGGGCGUAAAGAGCGUGUAGGCGGCCAUACAGGUCAGCUGUGAAAACUUGAGGCUCAACCUCGAGACGUCGGUUGAAACCGUAUGGCUAGAGUCCGGAAGAGGAGAGUGGAAUUCCCGGUGUAGCGGUGAAAUGCGCAGAUAUCGGGAAGAACACCCGUGGCGAAGGCGGCUCUCUGGGACGGUACUGACGCUGAGACGCGAAAGCGUGGGGGACGAACAGG